UCCAAAAACAAUUCACUUUUCUUUUUCAUUUAGAGAUAGAGCGCACAAGCAAGGUGGGGGGAAAGGGAGAGAGAAGGAAAGAAUCAUCCAAGAUCAUGACCUCAAGAAAGACCCACGACAGCUGUGUGCUAGCGCAUAGCAGGUAUGUGCUGCAUCUCAAACACCUCUGCUUCACUUUCUUACCAAUUUUCAAGGACAAAUUUAAUUUGUGGACCCUGCCCUCUUUACCACUAAGGUGACAGAAAUAAAAGAGCCAUUUUCAAGGGAUUUUAAGCCUUC
rnacentral:lncRNA from 1 species